UACGUAGGGGGCAAGCGUUGUCCGGAUUUAUUGGGCGUAAAGGGCGUGUAGGCGGCCAGGUAGGUCCGUUGUGAAAACUCGAGGCUCAACCUCGAGACGCCGAUGGAAACCAUCUGGCUAGAGUCCGGAAGAGGAGAGUGGAAUUCCCGGUGUAGCGGUGAAAUGCGCAGAUAUCGGGAAGAACACCCGUGGCUAAGGCGGCUCUCUAGUACGGUACUGACGCUGAGACGCGAAAGCGUGGGGAGCGAACAGG
rnacentral:rRNA from 1 species